AAUUAAUUUUAUUUUUUAUUUAUUAAGUUUUUUAAAAAAGUUUUUUUUUUGUUUAUUAAUUUAUUUAAAUCAAAUUUUUUUUUUUUAUCGUAAGGGAUUUAAAUUAGUUUUUUGAAAGAAUAAUUUUUUUUUGUACCUUUUGUAUCAGGGUAAUUUAAAAUUUUUAAUCUAUUUUAUUUUCCCGAAAAUUGAAUAUUUAUUUUUUUAUAAUUGUUAUUGUUGAAUAACUAUUUUAAAUAGAUUAAUAGUUUUGAAAUGAAAAUCGUUUUUUUUGAUAUCUGGUUACUUAAGAAACUAAUUUAAUUAGGGAUUUCUUUUAAAUUUAUUUUUUUUUUUUUGAUUUCUAAUUUCAUAGGGGAUAAUCUUUUUGAAUAAUUUAUAAUUUAAAUUUUUUUUUUUGUGUAGGUUUAAUAUCUGUCAUCAUUUUAAGUUCGUUAAAGAUUAUUUAUGAUUUAUAUAAAAAUUUAAUUUUUUAUUAAGUUUAAAAAUUGAGUUUUUUUUUUUUUAAUAAUGAUUUAAUUAGUAAUUAACACAAAUUUAGUUUAUGAACUCGGCAAAUUUAAAUUUUCGCCUGUUUAACAAAAACAUGUCUUUUUGAUUUUAUUUAAAGUCUGACCUGCUCAAUGAUUAAUUUAAAUAGCCGCGGUAUUUUAACUGUGCUAAGGUAGCAUAAUAAUUAGUCUUUUAAUUGAGGUCUGGAAUGAAUGGUUGAACGAGAAAUUUACUUUAUUAAUUAAAUUUUUUUGAAUUUUAUUUUUUAGUUAAAAAGCUUAAAUAUCAAAAAGGGACGAUAAGACCCUAUAGAUCUUGAAAAUUAUUUUUAUUUUUGGGUUUUUAGUAUUUAUUUACUAAAUAAUAAUAUUUUUUUUGUUGGGGUGACAUUUAAAAUUUUAAACUUUAAUUUAUUUAUACAAUUUUUUUUGGUUUAAUUGAUCCUUUAUUAUGGAUAAUAAGAUAAAGAUACCUUAGGGAUAACAGCGUUAUAUAACUGGAGAGUUCUUAUUGAUAGUUAUGUUUGCGACCUCGAUGUUGGAUUAAAAUUUUACUGUGGGGUAGGUUUUACAGUUUUAGGUCUGUUCGACCUUUAAAAUUUUACAUGAUCUGAGUUCAAACCGGUGUGAGCCAGGUUGGUUUCUAUCUUUUUUAUAUUUUUUCUGAUUAGUACGAAAGGAUUUUUAGAAAGUAAAAUUUAUUUA
rnacentral:rRNA from 1 species